AUUGAACGCUGGCGGCAGGCCUAACACAUGCAAGUCGAACGAGUGGCGGAAGGGUGAGUAAUGUCUGGGAAACUGCCUGAUGGAGGGGGAUAACUACUGGAAACGGUAGCUAAUACCGCAUACCAUCAGAUGUGCCCAGAUUGGAUUAGCUAGUUGGUGGGGUAACGGCUAACAAAGGAGACGAUCCCUAGCUGGUCUGAUAGGAUGACCAGCCACACUGGAACGGAGACACGGUCCAGAUUCCUACGGGAGGCAGCAGUGGGGAAUAUUGCAAAAUGGGCGAAAGCCUGAUGCAGCCAUGCCGCGUGUAUGAAGAAGGCCUUCGGGUUGUAAAGUACUUGCAGCGGGGAGGCGUUACCCGCAGAAGAAGCACCGGCUAACUCCGUGCCAGCAGCCGCGGUAAUUC
rnacentral:rRNA from 1 species